UACGUAGGGGGCAAGCGUUGUCCGGAAUCAUUGGGCGUAAAGAGCGUGUAGGCGGCUCGAUAAGUCUGCUGUGAAAGUCCAGGGCUCAACCCUGGAAGGCCGGUGGAAACUGUCGGGCUAGAGUCCGGAAGAGGCGAGUGGAAUUCCCGGUGUAGCGGUGAAAUGCGCAGAUAUCGGGAAGAACACCCGUGGCUAAGGCGGCUCUCUAGUACGGUACUGACGCUGAGACGCGAAAAGCGUGGGGAGCGAACAGG
rnacentral:rRNA from 1 species